GACGAACGCUGGCGGCGUGCCUAAUACAUGCAAGUUGAGCGCUGAAGGUUGGUACUUUUCCCGACUGGAUGAGCAGCGCACGGGUGUGUAACGCGUGGGGAAUCUGCCUUUUAGCGGCUGACAACAUUUGGAAACGAAUGCUAAUACCGCAUAAAAACUUUAACAACACGUUUUAUGUUUGAAAGAUGCAAUUGCAUCACUCAAAGAUGAUCCCGCGUUGUAUUAGGUAGCUGGUUAGGUAAAGGCCCACCAAGGGGAUGAUUCAUAGCCGACCUGAAGGGGUGAACGGCCAAAACUGGGAUUGGGAACGGCCCAAAAUCCUAUCGGGGGCAACAGGAGGGAAAUUUCGGCAAUGGACGAAAGGCUGACCGAGGAAAGCCGGGGUGGGGGAUGAGGUUUUCCGAACGGAAAACUCUGUUGGUAAAGAAAGACGGUGGUGAGAGUGAAAAGCUCAUCAAGUGACGGUAACUAACCAGAAAGGGACGGCUAACUACGUG
rnacentral:rRNA from 1 species